AUUGAACGCUGGCGGCAGGCCUAACACAUGCAAGUCGAGCGGAUGAUGAGAGCUUGCUCUUUGAUUCAGCGGCGGACGGGUGAGUAAUGCCUAGGAAUCUGCCUGGUAGUGGGGGACAACGUUUCGAAAGGAACGCUAAUACCGCAUACGUCCUACGGGAGAAAGUGGGGGAUCUUCGGACCUCACGCUAUCAGAUGAGCCUAGGUCGGAUUAGCUAGUUGGUGAGGUAAUGGCUCACCAAGGCGACGAUCCGUAACUGGUCUGAGAGGAUGAUCAGUCACACUGGAACUGAGACACGGUCCAGACUCCUACGGGAGGCAGCAGUGGGGAAUAUUGGACAAUGGGCGCAAGCCUGAUCCAGCCAUGCCGCGUGUGUGAAGAAGGUCUUCGGAUUGUAAAGCACUUUAAGUUGGGAGGAAGGGCAGUAACUUAAUACGUUGCUGUUUUGACGUUACCGACAGAAUAAGCACCGGCUAACUCUGUGCCAGCCGCCGCCGUAAAAC
rnacentral:rRNA from 1 species